GAAGCAGAAGAUGUUGAUUUAGAAACAUUUCAGCGUCGAAACUUUUUUAAUGAUGAAGAUGAUGAUUGGCAUUAAAUGUUCAAAUGUGAUUCAUAUAAUGGUCUUGGAUGAUGAUGAUGAUGACUUGUCAAGAUGGCUUUUUUUGAAGCUUUGUUGUCCCAGAAUUAUGAAGAAGAUUAUAGAAGCUUCAGAAAUUGGACUCGUUUGGACCUUUUGAUUGUUUUCUAGACUUGUAUUUUUUUUUGUUAAUUUUAAUAUUUAGACAAUUGGACAUGUAAGUUUCAUAACUAUGUUAAUUGUGUGUGUUAAUUGUUGGAUAUUGCUCUUAUAUUUAUUGUGGUUCAGCAUUUAUAUCUUAUUCUA